AAUCCAUAGGUUAAUGAGGCGAACCGGGGGAACUGAAACAUCUAAGUACCCCGAGGAAAAGAAAUCAACCGAGAUUCCCCCAGUAGCGGCGAGCGAACGGGGAGGAGCCCAGAGCCUGAAUCAGCAUGUGUGUUAGUGGAAGCGUCUGGAAAGGCGCGCGAUACAGGGUGACAGCCCCGUACACAAAAGCGCAUGUGCUGUGAGCUCGAUGAGUAGGGCGGGACACGUGGUAUCCUGUCUGAAUAUGGGGGGACCAUCCUCCAAGGCUAAAUACUCCUGACUGACCGAUAGUGAACCAGUACCGUGAGGGAAAGGCGAAAAGAACCCCGGCGAGGGGAGUGAAAAAGAACCUGAAACCGUGUACGUACAAGCAGUGGGAGCCCCAC
rnacentral:rRNA from 3 species